AGCAAGGUGGCCCAAGUCCACGGCAUCGUCUUGGUCCCCUGCCGAGGAAGCCUGUCGAGCAGCGUUCAGUCUACCUGUCAGUUCGAGUCCUAUGUUCUGAGACCAGUGGAGGAGCGUUUUCAGACCCUGAAUGGAAAGGAUGUCUUUAUUCAAGGAAACAGGAUUAAGUUAGGAGCUGGUUUUGCCUGUCUUCUCUCGGUGCCCAUUCUCUUGAAGAAAACUUC